GAAAAGAGUGUAACGAAACAACUGAUUCAACAAUCUAUAAUAUGGAAUCAUGACCUUGUUGGUGCCAUGCUCAAUUGGCCCAUAAGAAACAUCAUACAUGAAAGCCAUUUCGCCAUCCUCAAUGACAUUCUCAUUAUGUAUCUUGUACCUAGUAAGGUCAGCUCCAGCAUAACCAAGAAUACCUGCAAAGUCUACAUAGGUGACUGAAAGUGGCUUCCCUUGGAGCGUCCAAUGCAUGAUCUUGGUGGCCCUAUCAAUGUAGAGAGUGGCAUAGAAUUGGACCACCACCUCCUCA
rnacentral:lncRNA from 1 species